GUCUACGACCAUGCCACCCGAACAAGCCCGAUCCCGUCUGAUCUCAGAAGCUAAGCAGGGUUGAGCCUGGUUAGUACUUGGAUGAGAGAACACCUAGGAAGACCAGGUGCUAUAGCGG
rnacentral:rRNA from 1 species